AUGUUGGAACGCCGAGGGGACGCCCGGCCCCGCCGCCCCCGCGGGCUAACAGACUGCGUACGGCCUAGCGCCCGCUUCGGGCCGCUCUUCGCCUGCAGACGCCCCGGCGCCCUCGCGCGGCAUGACGCGAUCCCGGCCGGCGCGCUGUCGUCACUGCGCGUCGGCGUGGGCCCUGCGCGGGCGGGGGGCUUUGUGAGCACCGGAGACGAGCUGUCCGGCUUCUUAUUCUGUCGGCGUAGCAGCUCUCGGGGCUGUGGAGGAUCCAGACUGCCGCGCCGUUUCCGCGUUUGCUACGCCGGCCCAGCGAUUUACAGCCCUGAAGAGUCUACUUUUUCCCCCUCAUUUUUCCCCCUGCAGUAAUAAAUCCUAUUAUGGAGACUCAGAAACUUUAUAAAGGGAUAUAGUUUGAAUUCUGUGGAGUGUAAUUUUGUGUAUGAAUUAUACUUUUAAAAUAUGAAGGGUUUUCAGAAAGAAGGCUAGUAGAGUUAAUUACUGGUUUAUUAUGCAUGAGCAGUAAUUUUGUUGGUAAUACAGUACCUUAGGCAUUUGUGAUAACACUAGAAAGGACAAGCUGUACCUUGAUAAAUUGAUUUACCUUUAAUUACAAAAUGAAUGAUAUUAUAGAUGCAUGAUUCUUAAAUGAAAGACAAGUUAUUUAAUAUUUUUGUAAGAAGUUUCAAGUGUGGAAAUUUUAUGGUUAACUAGUUUAUGGAGAAAAUACCUUCAUUUGAUCAAGUAUACUAAAGUGGUAGGCAAAGUUAGGAAGAAAGACAACAUAAUAAUGAUGCUGCAGGAAAUGGAAACAAAUACAGACAAUAUUUAACAAAGACAGAAGAGUUAGCAGUUUGUGAGUUUUAAGCAAAAUUCAUUUCAUUUGACAUUGUACGCAGUAUAACAGGUUUAGGUUCAACAACACUUGUAGGUGUUGACAUCUCCAAAAGUUGUUAGCUGAAGCUAGUUUAACCUUCUUAAGUAAAUACUAUGAUGAUAAACUUUGUGAAAUUGGCCUUUAGAUAAUGUGACCAUAUGAAGACUUUAAUUCUUCUUGUUUACUAGAAUAAAAGAAGAUUAAAAAAAAUAUGUUAAAGUGCUCAUAGGGAAAGAAGCCUGCAUAUAGUUUUUUCCUCUUGUAGCAUAGUCAUUAAUUGGCUUGAUAUCCUGGCUUUGUAGCUUGUAACCGAAAGCAAAUUAAAGGCAUAAUUUAGAUAUUCUAUCCUUGUUUAGAAUUUUUGGAAUAUAAACCUCCUUGAAAAGUCAAGGAGUCUUAGCAUAUUUUUGGAGGUGUGUCAGCUUCUUUCAGGCUAUUAGGUCAGUAUUACACCAAAUAACGAGCAAAUAACAUUUGAGUUAAUAUAAUCCCAGAGAGUAUUAAAUAGUAUCUUCAUAAUUUAGGAGAGAUAUUCAUCCUACCUGAGUAUCAACUCAGGUAUAAAUCCAGUAAAGAAGGUGUAGUGAAUUUUCCAUAAGUAGGGACCUAUCAUUUGAUUCUUUUUUAUGGAAAAAAUCUAAUGUGAAGGGAAGAGAAUUGUCACGUGAAGGGUUUUAGCA
ensembl:lncRNA